rnacentral:tRNA from 1 species
GGGCUCGUGGUCUAGCUUGGAUAGAAUAGAGGCCUCCGGAGCCUUUGACUCGGGUUCGAAUCCCGACGGGCCCG